UACGAAGGGGGCUAGCGUUGCUCGGAAUCACUGGGCGUAAAGCGCACGUAGGCGGACUCUUAAGUCGGUGGUGAAAUCCUGGAGCUCAACUCCAGAACUGCCUUCGAUACUGAGAGUCUCGAGUCCGGGAGAGGUGAGUGGAACUGCGAGUGUAGAGGUGAAAUUCGUAGAUAUUCGCAAGAACACCAGUGGCGAAGGCGGCUCACUGGCCCGGUACUGACGCUGAGGUGCGAAAGCGUGGGGAGCAAACAGGG
rnacentral:rRNA from 1 species